rnacentral:rRNA from 1 species
CUGGCGGCAGGCUUAACACAUGCAAGUCGAGCGGGCGUAGCAAUACGUCAGCGGCAGACGGGUGAGUAACGCGUGGGAACAUACCUUUUGGUUCGGAACAACACAGGGAAACUUGUGCUAAUACCGGAUAAGCCCUUACGGGGAAAGAUUUAUCGCCGAAAGAUUGGCCCGCGUCUGAUUAGCUAGUUGGUGAGGUAACGGCUCACCAAGGCGACGAUCAGUAGCUGGUCUGAGAGGAUGAUCAGCCACAUUGGGACUGAGACACGGCCCAAACUCCUACGGGAGGCAGCAGUGGGGAAUAUUGGACAAUGGGCGAAAGCCUGAUCCAGCCAUGCCGCGUGAGUGAUGAAGGCCCUAGGGUUGUAAAGCUCUUUUGUGCGGGAAGAUAAUGACGGUACCGCAAGAAUAAGCCCCGGCUAACUUCGUGCCAGCAGCCGCGGUAAUACGAAGGGGGCUAGCGUUGCUCGGAAUCACUGGGCGUAAAGGGUGCGUAGGCGGGUCUUUAAGUCAGGGGUGAAAUCCUGGAGCUCAACUCCAGAACUGCCUUUGAUACUGAGGAUCUUGAGUACGGGAGAGGUGAGUGGAACUGCGAGUGUAGAGGUGAAAUUCGUAGAUAUUCGCAAGAACACCAGUGGCGAAGGCGGCUCACUGGCCCGUAACUGACGCUGAGGCACGAGAGCGUGGGGAGCAAACAGGAUUAGAUACCCUGGUAGUCC